rnacentral:rRNA from 1 species
GAUGAACGCUGGCGGCGUGCCUAAUACAUGCAAGUCGAGCGAACAGACGAGGAGCUUGCUCCUCUGACGUUAGCGGCGGACGGGUGAGUAACACGUGGAUAACCUACCUAUAAGACUGGGAUAACUUCGGGAAACCGGAGCUAAUACCGGAUAAUAUAUUGAACCGCAUGGUUCAAUAGUGAAAGACGGUUUUGCUGUCACUUAUAGAUGGAUCCGCGCCGCAUUAGCUAGUUGGUAAGGUAACGGCUUACCAAGGCAACGAUGCGUAGCCGACCUGAGAGGGGGAGGGCCACCCGUGGAACGGAGCCCGGGCCCAGCCCCCCACGGGGGGCAGCAGGAGGGAAUUCCCGCAAAGGGGCGAAGCCCUGACGGCGCACCGCCGAGGGAGUGAGAAAGGUUUUCGGAUCGAAAACCUUUUUUAUGGGGAAAAAAAAAAGUUGUAAUAACCUCUGCACGUCUGGAGGUGCCCUAAUAAGAAACCCCCGGCUACCUCCGUC